rnacentral:rRNA from 4 species
GGAUGAACGCUAGCGGGAGGCCUAACACAUGCAAGCCGGGCGGGAUCCCUUCGGGGUGAGAGCGGCGUACGGGUGAGGAGCACGUGUGCAACCUGCCCCUGUCUGGGGGAUAGCCCUCCGAAAGGAGGAUUAACACCCCAUAGGAUGUUCGCCGGCAUCGGCGGUCAUUGAAAGGUUACGGACGGGGAUGGGCACGCGCAGGAUUAGGUAGUUGGCAGGGUAACGGCCUACCAAGCCUUUGAUCCUUAGGGGGCCUGAGAGGGUGAUCCCCCACACUGGUACUGAGACACGGACCAGACUCCUACGGGAGGCAGCAGUGAGGAAUAUUGGACAAUGGGUGGAAGCCUGAUCCAGCCAUCCCGCGUGAAGGACUAAGGGCCUAUGGCCUGUAAACUUCUUUUGUACGGGGAUAAACCUAUCUACGCGUAGAUAGCUGAAGGUACCGUACGAAUAAGCACCGGCUAACUCCGU